rnacentral:rRNA from 1 species
AUUGAACGCUGGCGGCAUGCUUUACACAUGCAAGUCGAACGGUAACAGGCCUUCGGGUGCUGACGAGUGGCGAACGGGUGAGUAAUGCAUCGGAACGUGCCCAGAGGUGGGGGAUAACGCAGCGAAAGCUGUGCUAAUACCGCAUGUGAUCUGAGGAUGAAAGCGGGGGACCAGGCAGCAAUGUUUGGCCUCGCGCCUUUGGAGCGGCCGAUGUCAGAUUAGGUAGUUGGUGGGGUAAAGGCCUACCAAGCCGACGAUCUGUAGUUGGUCUGAGAGGACGACCAGCCACACUGGGACUGAGACACGGCCCAGACUCCUACGGGAGGCAGCAGUGGGGAAUUUUGGACAAUGGGCGCAAGCCUGAUCCAGCAAUGCCGCGUGCGGGAAGAAGGCCUUCGGGUUGUAAACCGCUUUUGUACGGAACGAAAAGGCUCUGGCUAAUACCUGGGGCUGAUGACGGUACCGUAAGAAUAAGCACCGGCUAACUACGUG